AUCUUUAUGAUUGCGUUGGGUCUAUCAGAAAGAAUUGAUCAGACCUGUCAUUCUUUUGUCUAAUCACCUUUUCAACUUUUCUACUAUACACACGAUAAAACGCUGGAGUCCGCUCGCAGAAACGAGACGAGCCAGCGCCAGAGGCAUCUUGUUAUCCGCGAAUUUCCGGCCAAGUUGUUUACCGCUUUAACCAACGACCCUUUAAUUACUUCAACAACCUACAGCCACGAACUUGACCGACUCUAAGAGCUACUCCUGUCGAGCGUGUCAUGUUAAUGAAGUUUGUCACAUUCGUUUGCGGAGUCACCAAGACUUCCCUACCGAUCGAGAAACGGAUAAUCGAUAAAGAAGAUACAAAAAGAUGCUAAAGUUUAAGGAGAACGUAAGUAUGUACAUACACUGUCGCUCGCAAGUAUGUGGACACUGGUGUAUUUUUAUUAACAAUCAACAAUACUCAGUAUCUUCAUGUAAAAUCAGGUGUUGCGCAUCAUACAAAAUUUAAAUUGUUUAAAAUCUUAUCAAUAGUAUAUUAAAAUGAAAUACAUGACUUGUCAAAGUAUCAAAAGGUUUCAAAUAUUAUAGUAGCAAUCAAGUACAAUAGUGCAAUUUGGGAUAUGCUUUUCUAUUUAUAGCUUGACAAUCAUCAUGAUGAGCAGAGUAUAAUGAACUUGUUAACCAAAAAGCUUCCACAGAAUGCAACUUCUUGACGCUUAUAGAUGUCAAUCUUUUUAUUGUAUACUAACUUUCAAAAACAGAUUUUAUCGUGCGACAUUCUGCGAUAACUCUGAUAAUGGAGAAAAUUGUUUUAAGACUUUCUAUUCUUAAGUUUCGUAACUAAUUUAUAUUCCAUCAAAAAUAAGUGAAUGUCCACAUAUUUUUGGACGUCUGUGUAGGUGGCUUGAAAGUUUCAAAGAUACCUAAUCCGACGAAUGGAGACUUGGAAGUAAUGUUUGGAAGAUUCAAUCCUGGCUGGCAAUGUCGCUUGAGUUUCCAGUAGAAUCUGUAUGAGGAACUGUAAUUCUGUCGUAUAUUCACGAGAAAGAACACGAAGAACAAAUCCUCUGUAAAAUCUUCGAAAUUCUUUCCUUUUCUUUGUUUUCCUUUUUAAAAUUAAAAUUUAAGUGCUAUUAGCGAUCGAGGGAUCGAUUAAUUUAAAAAAUGAUUCGAUGUGGGUCAUUAAAUGGAGUAAUAAACGUAAUUGGUACGUUCUUGAAAGAAGAAGGAAAACAUGACGAUAGAAGGAAGACGAAGGAGGAAGAAUAGAGAGGGAAAGAGGGAGAAGAGAGUGUUGGUUCGAUCGAAGUUGUCGAAGGGAGGGCGCCACUUUGCCGGCCAUCCUAUUUUCAUUAGCUCCUACGGAUCAUACACUUAUCAGAUUAUCUAUACAAUAGCCUUCAUAACAUGUAACAUAACAUGCCUCCACAAAAUCCAAGAAAGGUGACAAAUUUUUUAAAGGAAAAAGAAAUUUUAUAAGAAAUUUUAACAACAAGAGAGGUGUCAUAUUUUUUAAAAUAAUAAGUACCAAAUAAGGAAACAAAUAUAAAUACGGAUACAAGGACUAAAGAAACAUCCAGUAAUAAACAAGAGAACGCAAUGAUGCUGCGAAAGAGUUACGGCAACAGAAAAGUAGAAAAAAAUUAUUUAAAAAAGAAUUGAAAUGAAAGGAUUGUAAAACCACUUAAAGAAACAAGAAUCCUGAGGUAAAAAAUCCCUACAAGAACACCAGAAAUCAGUUGCAGAAAUGGCAAAUACUGCCAUGAAAAGGAAAUAAAAUGUCUUUAAACAAAACACUACGGACUAAAGUACUAAAAAUAUACCAUAAAGAUAAUACCGACGAGAUGAACGCUAUGUCGAUAAAAAAAAAGGAAAAAGAUCUAGCAAUAAAAAAGUCCUAUAAAAACACCAGAAGCCAGAAAUAGAAACAAUAAGUCCCAUGCACUUUCACGAACUACUGUAUAUUUGCACUAGAUACUUAUUUUGUAGCUUCUAUGAUAUUUCCAUAUUUGUUUCAAAUUUUAUCGAUAUAAUCAUAACAUGACAUGAUGCUCGUACCAUACUUUAUUACAGUGCUAAUGAAAUUUCAAAAUGUUUCGUAUGACAGAUGCAGUGGGGGAAAAAGUAAGUGAACUAAUAAGUAGUAAUAGUGGAAAUACAAAUAAUAGUGGAAAUUACACAAAAUUAUAAAUCUUAAUUUCUAUUACUUACUAAAUAAUUUUGUAUACCGUAAGAACAUGCAAUAAACAGAAUUUAGGUAUAUAAUACUGAUACUAAAUAGUUCGAUUAAACUUCAUUGAUAUCUACUACCUGUCCAUUUAUUUUUGUCCUCAACUGAAUAAUAUGUAUAUUUAUAGAGUGCAUCUAUGUCAACAAAAAGACAAUGUAGAAAUUCAACGAACUAAAUCCCUAACGUGACCGGACAAUUUCCAUUCUCCAUAAAGCAGAUAUCUUAGGAAAGGACGAGAAGGAAAAUGUUUUGGUGACACCGAAAAGGAAAAAGCUGCCUGUCGGCUACGGAUCUCGCGUUUGCCGACGGAAUAUUUACACGAGUAGCUGCGACACACAGGUGCACGCUUUGAUUUGCUGACACUAAUUGCGAACCGCGUCUGGCUAGCUCUUCUCGGUCUCAAAUUAAUUAAUGGCAUAGCAAAUGACGAGUCGCUCGGAGAUUCGCUCGCUGAGCUCUCGUCGCGCUGGGAAAAGCGAAAUAAUACGGCGUACGAUCGUGCCGCGAAUAUCAAUGCUUCCUUCGUUGUCAUCAAGAAGCGGAGACUCGUGCUCGUUAAUGAUGUACCAUCCUAUAUUAUAGGAUCGUUCUGUAGCUCCUCUUCUUUUUUCACUUUCUAUCUUCCUCCUGUUUAUUCGUUUUUCUUCUUCUCUUUUUGUCUCUUUUUCACAGUCGAGAUGCAGGACAAACCGUGUAUGUGUGUGUGCGCGUGUGUGUAUGUGUGUGCGUUCGUUGCAAUUUCACAGCCGGUGUGUAUUUAACCGUCGAAAUAAUCGCUUUAAUCCACGCUUCAAACCCGAGCCACUUUUUUGCAAACCGCGACAUACUAAUCCAUUUCGCUUCGUUACGACGAAAAUGGCAACCGACCAUUGAUAUCCGAUAUUUUAGUAGUGGAAAACUCGUUAACCGAUAACACGUCCGCAGCACGUGGUUGUCCUUUCCGAAGCAAUGACGUCAGAUUGAAAUCAUGGUCACCGUGACCGAUCACCAUGGAAACUGUGCUCGGAGCUAGUAUACCGACGUGAGAACGCCCACGAGGAUUUUAAAGUUCGAGUUAGCCUGACGGGAGAGCGUCCUGUGUAUACAGCUUCACGGAUGAGAUCCUUGCGAUAGGUCGGGGAUGAAAGCACGAAAAUAGCAACAGAAACAGUUUCUUCUUCUCGCGACAUUCCUAAUGAUGCCCGACGAAACCGGGCUAAAUGUUACGUAGCAGUGGAAUUCAAGGCGCAGAUGAAUAUGUAUUAAGAGUAGAGUAUACGUAUAAACUGUAGAAACACGGAUAGAAGAUCGAGCUUAAU